GGCGGACGCUGGCGGCGCGCUUAACACAUGCAAGUCGAGCGAGAACCAGGGCUUCGGCCCUGGGGACAGCGGCGAACGGGUGAGUAACACGUGGAUAACCUGCCCUCGGCACCGGGAUAGCCCGGGGAAACCCGGAUUAAUACCGGAUGGCCCUUCCGGCUCACGAGCCGGUCGGAAAAGGUAGCUUCGGCCUCCGGCCGAGGAUGGGUCCGCGGCGGAUUAGCUUGUUGGUGGGGUAACGGCCCACCAAGGCUCCGAUCCGUAGCUGGUCUGAGAGGACGAUCAGCCACACUGGGACUGAGACACGGCCCAGACUCCUACGGGAGGCAGCAGUGGGGAAUCUUGCGCAAUGGGCGAAAGCCUGACGCAGCGACGCCGCGUGAGGGAGGAAGGCCUUCGGGUUGUAAACCUCUUUCAGGAGGGACGAAGCUACUCGGGUGAAUAGCCCAGAGGGUGACGGUACCUCCAGAAGAAGCCCCGGCUAACUACGUGCCAGCCGCCGCGGUAA
rnacentral:rRNA from 1 species